CAUAAUUCAUUUAAUCCCUAUAUAAAAAGCAGAUUAUAUUCCCCCAAUUAAUCAUCAUCUUCCCCUCAAAAAAACCCUACCCUCAAAAUCGGCACAGAUCAUCUUCCCAAAAAAAACCCUAAUCCUACAACAAUCUUCUUCAUCUUCUCCCCUGCAGUGCAGUCAAAGGCGUUGGAAGAUAGUUAUAAAUGGAGAUAUGUGGAAUCAAAUCCUGUGGAAGAAUUUCAUGAAUUUGAUGUAAUGGAAGGUCCAGAGGAUGCUUUAGAUGAAUUUGACUUGCAUAAUGGUGAAUAUGAAAUUAAACAUCUAGCAGUUGAACCUAGUAAAAGUAAAGAAGAAGCCGAGAAGAUAGCGAUUAGAUUGCUUGCAGUAAGCGAGACUGUUGAUGCAUUUGCAGGAGAGAAGAUGAAGAAGAUUGUUGUGAGAUUAGGGUUUUUUUUUUUGGGAAGAUGAUGUGUGACGAUUUUAAGGGUAGGGUUUUUUUUUUGGGAAGAUGAUGAUUAAUUGGGGGAAUAUAAUAUGCUUUUUAUA